GGGCCGCUAGCUCAGUUGGUUAGAGCAUCUGCCUUUUAAGCAGAGGGUCGUUGGUUCGAAUCCAACGCGGCUCACCA
rnacentral:tRNA from 1 species